rnacentral:lncRNA from 1 species
GGGAACCUACAACAGGGUUUUAAUUGCCACGUCCUAGAAAUCUAAAUCUCAAGAAUUACCAAUAUUGUUAUCGACUCGGAAUUCUUAUUUUUCUAUGUGCUGACAACGAGCAUUAUUAUGGUGUGCAAAUUCGGCUGCAGGUCAUAGAUACUGCAGGGAUAAAUCAAGGAAU